CGAUGAGAAGAGAAGCAGCCGGUCGGAUCAGUUGCUCUCUUUUCCGUUAUACCAACUGAGCACGUCUCUGGGCGUGUACAGAGUGCAUUUCUGGUUCGCCCCCGAGAGACUUGGAGCAAACUCCUAAGCAAGCGUGGAUGAGAUGGCAGUGAGUGAGGGAAUGACACUCUGGAUUUAAGAUGAUCGCCCCCCAUCACAGAACUUGGAAAAAACCACAUCUUGGAAUCAGAGUUCCAGCACCAGACAGAAACCCAACAGGUCAAGCUUUUCCUAUUUCCAUGCUGGAAAUGCUUUAUCCUGAUUCAUUGUUCCAGCACAUUCUAGGAGGCCCAAAGAACUUACAGCCCAACGGCAAAUAAAUGCCUUUUGAUUUUCCCACUACAGGUUAGGAGGGAGUGUUGCCUUCUUUUAUCACUCUCACUCCGAGAAUUGCUGAUUGCCACUGAUCAUUAUUGCUGAUCUGAUGAAGUCUUUGCUGCAGUUAACAGUAAGAUGGCAGAGAGAAUAUUGCUGCAUUGACAGAAAAAGAGGCACCUUCCCUGCCAUGAUGAUGGAUUAAAGGCUCAGGAGUUUGCCAAGCAUAAAUCCUAGCAUAAUACAAUUAACUGUGAUUAUCUGAGUAGGGCAUUCCCAAUGGAAGUAUAUAUACCUGGUAGGUUUGUGAGGCUUGUCGUUGACCAGGCAAAGUCAUUUUAUGUAAAAUAAAUAAAUAAUAAAAUUAAAAAAUUAUUUUUUAAAAUUAUUUUUUUAUAAUUAAAAAUUAUAAUUUUUUUAAAAUUACUGCUUCCUCCCAUCAUAUUCCAGUGCAAAAAGCAGCGCAUUCAGCUACUUUAAGUGGGAGAAAUGUUUCUGCAAACGUUGGUAUCUGUAGGUAAUAGGGAAGUGUGACAUUAUUUGGCACAAAGAAACAAACAAACAAACUUUUCAAAAUAUAUAAUGGAUACAAUGUUUAUAUAUGUUAGAGAAUGUGUUAUUAAUGUGCUUGCAAAAGGGAAAUAAAAGAACAGUUUGAAAUUUG